rnacentral:lncRNA from 1 species
AUAACCUCAGUAUAUAAGGUAUGCUGAGGAGGCCUCAAGCCAUUCCAGGCUCUUCUGUGCCUGUGGGACUACAUUCUCUGUGCCGGGCUUAGAGAACACGAAGAGGGAGCCAUCUGCCACACUCUGGAGGCUGAAGCCUGCACCAGUGCUGCUCGCCUCACUGUGGUAGGUGGUGGUGAUGGAAACUGCAGAUCGGCCAGAGUGGUAGAAAAGUUGCUGCAGGGUUUUUCUGGCUUUGCCUGCCCAGCUGCUCCAUGCCUGGCUAGAGGAGAAGGAGGAGCCACAUGUGGUACACUGGAGGCUGGAGCCUGCAGAUGGCAUGGCUCUGCGGCUCACCUUGCUGCAGUUGGUGGUGGUGACAGAGACUGCAGCUUGACUGUAGUGAAUUUGGAAAUUAUCUGUCUGGAAGCUCUGAGUUUAUCUUGGGACCUCAAGAGGAGAGGAUCACCCAACUCACAGCAAUCAAACUCCAAAUGGUGCUAUAAACUGAACCACACAUGGACACGUCAGUCUUCCGAGGACCCUUAGAUCAACCCCAGGAGGAGCCCUAGCUGCUGUUCCCCAUUCGACGCCCCUUUCCAGCAGGAAGUAGCCAGAAGACAUCGUCGCCCAAACCUCUAACAGCAGUUAGUGCGGCAUCUCCACAGGGGGGAAUGUUGUAGGAGUUAUUGAUAAAUUAUUUUAGGCAGAUAGAGAGGAAAAGGGGUCCUUAGGAAGUUUUUGUUUUUUAAAGCACGUCUGGAAAAGUUUCUUGUAAAGCUCCAGCUCUUAAAGCCAGGCCAGUUACCCGAUAUCCAAAUGCCAGCCAUUAGAAAGUGGGUCCACCCAAACAUGGCGAUUCCUGUGGACUUCUUGCCCUUUCCCCACAUUCCUGGAUACAUGGACACCCCGAAGUAUCCCCACCUGUGUAGAAGAUCAUGGUGCCCUGCAUUUGCAUAUUAAAAGGCUAGGGUGGGAGAGCCAGCUUUUCCUGCGGGCUACGUGAAUGACAUGCCUAGUCAAACCAAUCCCCUGAGCCUGUGCAAAUCAGACACUGCCUCCUCCAGCCUCUGUAUAUAUACCUAGCUGGUAUCUGUGGCAGGUGGGGUUCCCUCUCUUGGCUUUGGAGCCCCCCUUCCUCUGUCUCUGUACAGGGGAGCUUCUUCCUUUUCCCUUCCCUCUUGCUUCUUCUUGCCUAUUAAACUCUCUCUGCUCCUUAAAAAUAAAAAAAACUAUAUUUGAAACA